GUCUCAGUUCGGAUUGAAGGCUGAAAUUCGCCUUCAUGAAGCUGGAAUUGCUAGUAAUGGCAGGUCAGCAUACUGCCGUGAAUACGUUCCCGGGCCUUGUACACACCGCCCGUCACACCAUGAGAGUUGGGAAUACCCGAAGCCUGUGAGCUAACUGUAAAGAGGCAGCAGUCGAAGGUAGAAUCAAUGAUUGGGGUGAAGUCGUAACAAGGUACC
rnacentral:rRNA from 1 species